CCUACGGGAGGCAGCAGUGAGGAAUAUUGGUCAAUGGGCGCGAGCCUGAACCAGCCAAGUAGCGUGAGGGAAGACUGCCCUAUGGGUUGUAAACCUCUUUUGUCAGGGAGCAACGCCGGCUACGUGUAGCCGGACUGAGAGUACCUGAAGAAAAAGCAUCGGCCAACUCCGUGCCAGCAGCCGCGGUAAUACGGAGGAUGCGAGCGUUAUCCGGAUUUAUUGGGUUUAAAGGGUGCGUAGGCGGAAUGCCAAGUCAGCGGGAAAAUCGCGGGGCUCAACCUCGCUCCGCCGUUGAAACUGGCGUUCUUGAGUGGGUGAGAAGUAUGCGGAAUGCGUGGUGUAGCGGUGAAAUGCAUAGAUAUCACGCAGAACUCCGAUUGCGAAGGCAGCAUACCGGCGCCCAACUGACGCUGAAGCACGAAAGCGUGGGUAUCGAACAGGAUUAGAUACCCGAGUAGUC
rnacentral:rRNA from 1 species